CUGUCAUAUACUUGUAGGUGCGAGAGUCUUCCUCUUCACCUUUUAUCCCAAAUUCCCAAUCUCUCACGCCCUUUCUGUCACUUACAGCUUACUAAACCCCAUAAACCCUUAUCUGAAACCAUAUACCCAAUAACCCAAACACCACUUUGUCAUCUUACUCUUGCUGCUCUGAUAAAGCUGAAGAAAGUCCUCCGGGAAGAAAGACUCAAAAGAGAGAUGCUAAGCUCAAGGGGAAGAUUAGCAAAAAACAAGAUCGAUAUAUUCAAGCAAUGGAAAAUAUUGCAUUCAAUAGUGAAGCUAGUAGAGAGGCCACAAGUAUCAGAGAUAAAGAAAAUAGAAAGCACAUCAAGUGGCAGUAACAAAUGGAAAUGGAAAAGCAACAACGUACUAGAACUACAAAAAGUAUAACCAGAAAUCCAAAAGGAGGAAAAUUGGGUUAUGGCUAAAGACAUUAGCACAAUGACUCCAGAAUCAAAAGCAUGGUGGAAGAAAAGAAAGAAAGCUAUCCGUGACAAAACCUCAGAUGAUUGGGAGGGUUUGUAAUAUCUCAAGACUAUCUUGAUUACGUUAUUAGGUUGUUAUUUAGAAUGUUGUUGUUUUCGCUAGGCUAGGCUAGUUUUUCAUGUAGUCUUUAUCUAGUGUCAUAGUCUUUAUCUAGUAUCCAACUUUAUCUUCUAAGCUCAUCUUCUGGUACAUCUUUCGAAAAAUUUCAUCUUCAA